AUUGAACGCUGGCGGCAGGCCUAACACAUGCAAGUCGAACGGUAACAGGAAGAAGCUUGCUUCUUUGCUGACGAGUGGCGGACGGGUGAGUAAUGUCUGGGAAACUGCCUGAUGGAGGGGGAUAACUACUGGAAACGGUAGCUAAUACCGCAUAACGUCGCAAAACCAAAGAGGGGGACCUUCGGGCCUCUUGCCAUCGGAUGUGCCCAGAUGGGAUUAGCUAGUAGGUGGGGUAACGGCUCACCUAGGCGACGAUCCCUAGCUGGUCUGAGAGGAUGACCAGCCACACUGGAACUGAGACACGGUCCAGACUCCUACGGGAGGCAGCAGUGGGGAAUAUUGCACAAUGGGCGCAAGCCUGAUGCAGCCAUGCCGCGUGUAUGAAGAAGGCCUUCGGGUUGUAAAGUACUUUCAGCGGGGAGGAAGGGAGUAAAGUUAAUACCUUUGCUCAUUGACGUUACCCGCAGAAGAAGCACCGGCGAACUCCGU
rnacentral:rRNA from 1 species